rnacentral:rRNA from 1 species
AUUGAACGCUGGCGGCAUGCCUUACACAUGCAAGUCGAACGGUAACAGGUCUUCGGAUGCUGACGAGUGGCGAACGGGUGAGUAAUACAUCGGAACGUGCCUAGUAGUGGGGGAUAACUACUCGAAAGAGUGGCUAAUACCGCAUGAGAUCUACGGAUGAACGCAGGGGACCGCAAGACUUUGUGCUACUAGCGCGGCCGAUGGCAGAUUAGGUAGUUGGUGGGAUAAAAGCUUACCAAGCCGACGAUCUGUAGCUGGUCUGAGAGGACGAUCAGCCACACUGGGACUGAGAAACGGCCCAGACUCCUACGGGAGGCAGCAGUGGGGAAUUUUGGACAAUGGGCGCAAGCCUGAUCCAGCAAUGCCGCGUGCAGGAUGAAGGCCUUCGGGUUGUAAACUGCUUUUGUACGGAACGAAAAGCCCCGGGUUAAUACCCUGGGGUCAUGACGGUACCGUAAGAAUAAGCACCGGCUAACUACGUGCCAGCCGCCGCCGUAA